rnacentral:lncRNA from 1 species
GAGAAGCGAGGAUAAUUUAUUGAUCACAAGAACAUGGAAUAUGGAAAUGACCCACCACAAACGACGGAGGUUCAUUCCAAACAUGAAGUGAAUUAAUAUCUCUCGCAGCCUUUGCUAAACCAUGAGCAACAGCAUUUCGUUCCCUCUUCACAUGACGUAAUCGUAUUCCCGGAAGCACCGAGAGUUCGUGACGGCAAAACUUAGCAAUAAUCCCCAGCUCCAGAAUGU